CCAAACAGUUUUGUAAAUAAAAAGGAAAGGCC
rnacentral:piRNA from 1 species